rnacentral:rRNA from 1 species
UAGGGAAUAUUGCAAAAUGGGCGAAAGCCCGAUGCAGCAACGCCGCGUGGGCGAUGAAGGCCUUCGGGUCGUAAAGCCCUUUUUGAGGGGAUGAGGAAGGACAGUACCCUCAGAAUAAGCCUCGGCUAACUACGUGCCAGCAGCCGCGGUAAAACGUAGGAGGCGAGCGUUAUCCGGAUUUACUGGGCGUAAAGCGCGUGCAGGCGGAUUGGAGAGUUGGAUGUGAAAGCUCCCGGCUUAACUGGGAGAGGUCGUUCAAUACUUCCAGUCUUGAGUGCAGUAGAGGGAAGUGGAAUUCCGGGUGUAGUGGUGAAAUGCGUAGAUAUCCGGAGGAACGCCAGUGGCGAAAGCGGCUUCCUGGACUGUAACUGACGCUCAGACGCGAAAGCUAGGGUAGCAAACG